rnacentral:rRNA from 1 species
UAGUAACUGCGAGUGAAGUGGGAAAAGCUCAAAUUUAAAAUCUGGCAGCCAUUCAGGUUGUCCGAGUUGUAAUCUAGAGAAGUGUUAUCCGUGCUGGACCAUGUACAAGUCUCCUGGAAUGGAGCAUCAUAGAGGGUGACAAUCCCGUCUUUGACAUGGACUACCAGUGCUUCUGUGAUGCACUCUCAAAGAGUCGAGUUGUUUGGGAAUGCAGCUCAAAUGGGUGGUAAAUUCCAUCUAAAGCUAAAUAUUGGCGAGAGACCGAUAGCGAACAAGUACCGUGAGGGAAAGAUGAAAAGGACUUUGGAAAGAGAGUUAAACAGUACGUGAAAUUGCUGAAAGGGAAACGCUUAAAGUCAGUCACAUUGAUUGGAAAUCAGCCCUGCUUCUUUUUGCUGGGUGUACUUUUCCAGUUGAUGGGUCAGCAUCAAUUUUGAUCAUUGGAUAAAGGUAUAAGGAAUGUGGCAUUUACUUAUAAAUGUGUUAUAGCCUUAUAUUGUAUGCAAUGGUUGGGAUUGAGGAACUCAGCAUGCCAAAAGGCUGGAGAGAAAUCUCACAUUCGUGCUUAGGAUGGCUGGCACAAUGGCUUUAAUCGACCCGUCUUGAAACACGGACCAAGGAGUCUAACAUGCCUGCGAGUAUUUGGGUGGAAAACCCAUAUGCGUAAUGAAAGUGAAAGUUGAGAUCCCUGUCUGGGGAGCAUCGACGCCCGGACUUGAUGUUUUCUGACAGUUCUGCGGUAGAGCAUGUAUGUUGGGACCCGAAAGAUGGUGAACUAUGCCUGAAUAGGGUGAAGCCAGAGGAAACUCUGGUGGAGGCUCGUAGCGAUUCUGACGUGCAAAUCGAUCGUCAAAUUUGGGUAUAGGGGCGAAAGACUAAUCGA